rnacentral:misc_RNA from 1 species
AACUGUAGGAUGGAGAUUGAGUUUAGAGGCUUUGAAUUUGAGGAAUGCAUCAGCACGAUUUAAUAUCUUAUCACUACUGCUAGCAUUCUUUAUCUCAUUGCUUUUGUUACCCCCUCAAACAUUAGUUAUCUUUAGUUCUAUUCUAAUUGUGAUUCUGAGAAGAUUUGAGAAGUUGUAACGAUCAUGGUUUCAAAUUGCGGUCGCGGGUAACAGAAUAGGCCUAUAACGGCCGUAAUG